AAUCAACGCUGGCGGCGUGCCUCAGACAUGCAAGUCGAACGAUUAAAGCUCUCUUCGGAGAGUGUAUAGAGUGGCGCACGGGUGAGUAACACGUAAGUAAUCUACCUUUGAGUGGGGAAUAACAGUCGGAAACGACUGCUAAUACCGCAUAAUGCAGCGGCAUCGCAAGAUGACAGUUGUUAAAGGAGCAAUCCGCUUAAAGAGGAGCUUGCGGCAGAUUAGCUUGUUGGUAAGGUAACGGCUUACCAAGGCUACGAUCUGUAUCCGGUCUAAGAGGACGGUCGGACACACUGACACUGAAU
rnacentral:rRNA from 1 species